UACGUAGGGACCGAGCGUUGUCCGGAUUCAUUGGGCGUAAAGAGCUCGUAGGCGGCUGUUCAAGUCGAACGUGAAAACUCGGAGCUCAACUCCGAGCCUGCGUUCGAGACUGGAUGGCUAGAGUCUGGUAGGGGGAUCUGGAAUUCCUGGUGUAGCGGUGGAAUGCGCAGAUAUCAGGAGGAACACCGGUGGCGAAGGCGGGAUCCUGGGCCAGUACUGACGCUGAGGUGCGAAAGCGUGGGGAGCAAACAGG
rnacentral:rRNA from 1 species